rnacentral:rRNA from 1 species
GACGAACGCUGGCGGCGUGCUUAACACAUGCAAGUCAAGGGGGCCCAGUAGCAAUACUGGGCAACCGGCGAACGGGUGCGUAACACGUGAGCAACCUACCGAAAUGUGGGGGAUAGCCGGCCUAACGGCCGAGUAAUACCGCAUACGCUCUCGAUGAGGCAUUUCAUUGAGAGGAAACCUACGGGACAUUUCGAGGGGCUCGCGGCCUAUCAGCUAGUUGGCGAGGUAACGGCUCACCAAGGCAACGACGGGUAGCUGGUCUGAGAGGAUGGCCAGCCACAUUGGGACUGAGAUACGGCCCAGACUCCUACGGGAGGCAGCAGUGGGGAAUCUUGCGCAAUGGCCUAACGGCUGACGCAGCGACGCCGCGUGUGGGAUGAAGCUCUUCGGAGUGUAAACCACUGUUGCCCGGGACGAAUAGCUCGAUUAAUCGAGCCUGACGGUACCGGGUGAGGAAGCACCGGCUAACUCCGUGCCAGCCGCCGCCGUAAC